UGAUGAUGAUGAUGAUGAUGAUGAUGAUGAUGAUGAAGAUGAUGAUGAAGAGUACAAAGAGGGCUCCCUCUGCAAAUACUGUUCCUUCUGCAAGCACUGCGAUGAGUGUGACAAAUGCCCCUGUGAGGAGAAGGAUAAGAGCGAACACUGCAAGAACUGCGAGUACUGCAAGUUCUGUUAUGUUUGCCCAGUCAUAUGCGAGACAGCCUGCAAACCAGGGAGCUACGUAGAUGAACUGUCAGGAUCUCUGUAUCAGUCUGUCGCCCAGAUAUUUGAAUAAAUGUGCCCUGGAACAGACCGCCAGGCACCAAAUGUAAUUUAUAUGAGUACUUUGGAUAAGCAGACUCUGAUAUUUCUCACAUUUAAAAGACAAACGUCAAACAUGGACUGACCACCUGAUGGACCUAAACCUCUUUCUUUCCUCUUUGAGGCAAUCCUGUCAAGUCAAGGUUUGAUGGGCGGGUGGUGGCACCUACUGGCAUUUGAGGGGGUUCUAGUUUUCUCUACCCAACUCCACAAUCAAAUGAACACUUAAUAUUGUACUUUGCUAAUUGUCAGCCAGAUUGUCACCUAACACCACCUAAUUCAUUCUGUUCUUUCUAGCAUCUUCUACCUCCUAGGUAAAUAAAGAUCUCCUGAUCACUCACCAAAACAUAAA